GUGAGCCGUAUGAUAGGCAACUAUCUCUUGUGGUUCGGAGAGGACACAGUUGUUAGUUAGUAUGCCCUCGAAACUUUAU
rfam:Eucalyptus grandis cultivar BRASTZ1 unplaced genomic scaffold scaffold_9, whole genome shotgun sequence.